UGCUACUACUAGAUCUACUACAUAAAAGAGAGGCUACUAAAAAUAUGAAAUCCUAGGUUGGUUAAAACAUGAUGGGGAGAUGAGUAUUUAUAGGGGGAAAUUAGGGUAGAGGGGGGUGUAGGUGUCCCAUCUAGAUGCUUCCUUGAGAAUAUUCCCCUAUGAUCCUUUUCUUCCCAUCUUUUUCUCCCUUUUGCUUUAUUCUUU
rnacentral:lncRNA from 1 species